rnacentral:rRNA from 1 species
CAGUCAGAGGCGAUGAAGGACGUGCUAAUCUGCGAUAAGCGUCGGUAAGGUGAUAUGAACCGUUAUAACCGGCGAUUUCCGAAUGGGGAAACCCAGUGUGUUUCGACACACUAUCAUUAACUGAAUCCAUAGGUUAAUGAGGCGAACCGGGGGAACUGAAACAUCUAAGUACCCCGAGGAAAAGAAAUCAACCGAGAUUCCCCCAGUAGCGGCGAGCGAACGGGGAGCAGCCCAGAGCCUGAAUCAGUAUGUGUGUUAGUGGAAGCGUCUGGAAAGGCGCGCGAUACAGGGUGACAGCCCCGUACACAAAAAUGCACAUGCUGUGAGCUCGAUGAGUAGGGCGGGACACGUGGUAUCCUGUCUGAAUAUGGGGGGACCAUCCUCCAAGGCUAAAUACUCCUGACUGACCGAUAGUGAACCAGUACCGUGAGGGAAAGGCGAAAAGAACCCCGGCGAGGGGAGUGAAAAAGAACCUGAAACCGUGUACGUACAAGCAGUGGGAGCACGCUUAGGCGUGUGACUGCGUACCUUUUGUAUAAUGGGUCAGCGACUUAUAUUCUGUAGCAAGGUUAACCGAAUAGGGGAGCCGAAGGGAAACCGAGUCUUAACUGGGCGUUAAGUUGCAGGGUAUAGACCCGAAACCCGGUGAUCUAGCCAUGGGCAGGUUGAAGGUUGGGUAACACUAACUGGAGGACCGAACCGACUAAUGUUGAAAAAUUAGCGGAUGACUUGUGGCUGGGGGUGAAAGGCCAAUCAAACCGGGAGAUAGCUGGUUCUCCCCGAAAGCUAUUUAGGUAGCGCCUCGUGAAUUCAUCUCCGGGGGUAGAGCACUGUUUCGGCAAGGGGGUCAUCCCGACUUACCAACCCGAUGCAAACUGCGAAUACCGGAGAAUGUUAUCACGGGAGACACACGGCGGGUGCUAACGUCCGUCGUGAAGAGGGAAACAACCCAGACCGCCAGCUAAGGUCCCAAAGUCAUGGUUAAGUGGGAAACGAUGUGGGAAGGCCCAGACAGCCAGGAUGUUGGCUUAGAAGCAGCCAUCAUUUAAAGAAAGCGUAAUAGCUCACUGGUCGAGUCGGCCUGCGCGGAAGAUGUAACGGGGCUAAACCAUGCAC